rnacentral:rRNA from 1 species
GAUGAACGCUGGCGGCGUGCUUAACACAUGCAAGUCGAACGAAGCACUUUAUUUGAUUUCCUUCGGGACUGAUUAUUUUGUGACUGAGUGGCGGACGGGUGAGUAACGCGUGGGUAACCUGCCUUGUACAGGGGGAUAACAGUUGGAAACGGCUGCUAAUACCGCAUAAGCGCACAGCAUCGCAUGAUGCAGUGUGAAAAACUCCGGUGGUAUAAGAUGGACCCGCGUUGGAUUAGCUAGUUGGUGAGGUAACGGCCCACCAAGGCGACGAUCCAUAGCCGACCUGAGAGUGUGACCGGCCACAUUGGGACUGAGACACGGCCCAAACUCCUACGGGAGGCAGCAGUGGGGAAUAUUGCACAAUGGGCGAAAGCCUGAUGCAGCGACGCCGCGUGAGCGAAGGAGUAUUUCGGUAUGUAAAGCUCUAUCAGCAGGGAAGAUAAUGACGGUACCUGACUAAGAAGCACCGGCUAAAUACGUG